rnacentral:rRNA from 1 species
UACGUAGGGGGCUAGCGUUGUCCGGAAUCAUUGGGCGUAAAGAGCGUGUAGGCGGCCAGGUAGGUCUGCUGUGAAAACUCGAGGCUCAACCUCGAGACGUCGGCGGAAACCAUCUGGCUAGAGUCCGGAAGAGGAGAGUGGAAUUCCUGGUGUAGCGGUGAAAUGCGCAGAUAUCAGGAAGAACACCCGUGGCGAAGGCGGCUCUCUGGGACGGUACUGACGCUGAGACGCGAAAAGCGUGGGGGAGCGAAACAGGG